UGGUGGGUUGCCUUGUCAGGUUGAUUCCGGUAACGAACGAGACCUCAGCCUGCUAAAUAGUCACGGUCGCUUUUUGUCGGCCGGUUGACUUCUUAGAGGGACUAUUGGCGUUUAGUCAAUGGAAGUAUGAGGCAAUAACA
rnacentral:rRNA from 1 species